AAGCAACGCGAAGAACCUUACCAGGCCUGACAUGCAGAGAACUUUCCAGAGAUGGAUUGGUGCCUUCGGGAACGUCUGACACAGGUGCUGCAUGGCUGUAACGUCAGCUCGUGUCGUGAGAUGUUGGGUUAAGUCCCGUAACGAGCGCAACCCUUGUCCUUAGCUACCAGCACGUUAUGGUGGGCACUCUAAGGAGACUGCCGGUGACAAACCGGAGGAAGGUGGGGAUGACGUCAAGUCAUCAUGGCCCUUACGGCCUGGGCUACACACGUGCUACAAUGGUCGGUACAAAGGGUUGCCAAGCCGCGAGGUGGAGCUAAUCCCAUAAAACCGAUCGUAGUCCGGAUCGCAGUCUGCAACUCGACUGCGUGAAGUCGGAAUCGCUAGUAAUCGUGAAUCAGAAUGUCACGGUGAAUACGUUCCCGGGCCUU
rnacentral:rRNA from 1 species